rnacentral:rRNA from 1 species
UACGGAGGGUGCGAGCGUUGUUCGGAAUUACUGGGCGUAAAGCGCGUGUAGGCGGCUAUUUAAGUUUGGUGUGAAAGCCCGGGGCUUACCCCCGGAAGCGCACUGGAUACUGGAUGGCUAGAGUACUGGAGAGGAGGGUGGAAUUCCUAGUGUAGCGGUGAAAUGCGUAGAUAUCAGGAAGAACACCGGUGGCGAAGGCGGCCCUCUGGACAGAUACUGACGCUGAGACGCGAAAGCGUGGGGAGCAAACAGG